rnacentral:lncRNA from 1 species
AUACACGCUAAGUUGUGCUAAGUGACGCUUCGCUAUCGGUAAAUGUACGGCCGCCUUGGACGCCUGAACUUCACUACCACGAGUUAUAUAGUGAUACAAUAAAACCGUUCCCGCCAAAUAUGCUGAUGAUGCUGUAAACGGAGCAGCUAAUGAAAUGGAAAGCUCAGUACAGUCUUGGAUGAUUCGACAAAUAGCAUUAGCACAUUGACUAGCAAGAACGGCCGAUUGAUUCUCAAAUACAGUAGGGGGUGACUUGACAUGAGAAAACGGAACCGACGAUAUGGAUGCUGCAUAUCGAUGAACAUACAGAUGUAUUUGUAAAAAAAUUAAAUGUAGACACGCAAAUUGGCCACCUUGUCCCAUCAUAUGGUAAGAUAGCAAAGUCUGUCUAGAAUACCGAAGUCUAUUGGGCAAAUUCUUCUCCCAUUCAUAUAAUUCUUGAUCAAGCUGUUUAAAGGUACUUUUGGCAUGCCAAAAAGGAUAAGGGUUAGAUUGUUUUUGACUAUACGACUUUAAACACCGUACUACCCGACCCCAAAUAGAUACCAUACGUAUCAUGUACGCUAACAUCCCCAUAUUAUCUUGGGCAUUUCGACUAACUAUCGGGGCUGUAGUUGGGUUUGCAUUAGUAAAACUGUCAGGACUGCUGGGUUUUCCAGUUAAAGUCUCAGUGACAGCAUGGGCUUUGUACAUAAAAAGAGUCUCACGCAUAGGAAGUGGAACGUGUAUGUCUUCGAGAUUCAAAAAUUGGGUAUUACAGUAUAAAGAAUUUAAGCGAUCCAACAUAAAGCAAUCCCAAAACAAUCGUCUGGUAAGUUGAACACGGAUUUCAAAGGGGAGAGGUGAAUCAGGUCUGUCGUAAUAUGGUAAAUUUGGAGUCUUGUUUGGAUGAAGGGCAACAACCAUUCGAAUGGCCAUACCCGCAAACAUCCAGUAUUUACUUGUCGCAGCACACACGUAUGAAAGCAUUACAAAAGAAGCCACAUAUACAAGGUCUAACUUAUCAAAGUUUGCCAUUGCAAUUGCCGAUGCUCUGUUAAACCAUUGUUCAAACAACUCAUUUUUGUCAUAUUUAUCUGUCUGCCAAAACCGAAUGGCCACUGCACACAUAGCCAAAACCAACACAGGUGGAAGGCGCUGAGACUUCAGAGCCUCCAUAAAAGAAUCCCGAUGGAAUAGUACAUAUGGUUGGCCAUGCGCGUAGAUAAAAUAAAUAUGAGCAAGCUGUAACUGAAUAUCCAGGCUAGGCAGAUUUUCAGAACCUUCCGUCCAAAGAGGACCAUCAGGAAGUCUAAAAGAAGCAUUGUAAGCAGGAUUUAUCGAAUGAUCAACUGAUGCAGCUUUAGGUUCGGGGGGAGAAAGAGGACCAGAAACAUGGGAAGGACGUAAGGGAUGUACAGCAGCCAUAUCGUUGAGAGGUUCGUGAGAUUGUAUUUUUGAAGCCGGAGGUGAGAAGCUGAAAUCAGCAUGGGGAGAGGAAAUGUAAUCAUUUUGAUGAGUAGCUGAUGAAGACUGAGAGUCUGGAGAGACGGAAAGGGUAAAAGUAGGAGAAUGAAUGGUGUGUGGAUGAUGAAAAGGUAUAUCAACAGUAGGAGGAGUAGAAGGAAGAUGAGAGGAAUCGGUAUCUGGGCUAGUCGACCAGGUAUAUCUCCCGUGCGGUAUGGAAACAGGUUCUUUCUGGGCUCUUUCAGGGGAUAACUAUGGCAAUUAGUAAGAAAUCGACCAAUAAAGAAUGGGUAACAAAGAAACUUACAUCAUUUUCGUUUUCAGUAAAACGAAUUUUCUUUUGAUUCAGCUGAGUAUUCGAAGCUAAGCGUUUGCGCAAAAAAGGAUCCUAUCCAAAUAGGUCAGUAUGAAUAAAAACAAAAAAAGGCAUAUAAAUCAUCAAUAAAAGAAAGAAAAGUAAAUCGGUGGAUUUUGUAUUUCUCCCCAUAUGCCGACAUUAGCAGUUCGAGUCGGUAUUGACUUACCUCUGGACUAUCUGAUAAUCUAACGCCGUGGACAGCAGUGGAAUUUUCUAACAUAGUGCGGUAACCAAAGUAUAGAAAAUUAAGAAAUUACAAAAACAAAGGAGCAAAGGAUAAAAAAACAAACAAGUAAGAAUGAAAACUCCAAAACCUGACGAUGCAAACACUUUUGAAGUCGUUUAAUGAAACUCGGGAAUUGAUGUAAAAACAAACUUAGAAUUCCGAGACUAUCCAAUAAUGAACAAAAAGAAAUGAAUAGAUGAUACAAACGAGAGUGAAGAAAAGAAAACAAGAGUUAGCUCACGUUAGUAUGAAUAAAUAGAAGGAGGGAAAAAAUUAUUACAAGAAGAUAAUAAUAACAAGAUUAGAAGAAUUAUAUUAUCAAAAGAAAAGAAGGGAAGAUAGAUCAACAGAGAACAGAGAGUAGCAAGAGAAAGACUGGAAGAAAAUCGGGAAAUGAAAAUAGGAAAACAAAAGAGAUCCAAACGGAUAACUAAAAGAACCCCAAAAACAAGGAGAAAGUGGAAGAGUAUGAAUAAAUUAGAUCAAUCACUUUGCGACAAGAACGAGUCGUACAAAAUGACGAAUGAAACGAAAAAAAGAGUAGCAAAUUGGGGAGGGAUUGGAGAUAAAGUCUUUGUGAACUUUGGCUGCUACCACUUUACCGGUGUGAAUAUUUUUUUCUUGGA